rnacentral:rRNA from 1 species
UUACGAAGGGGGCUAGCGUUGCUCGGAAUCAUCGUGGGCGUAAAGGGUGUGUAGGCGGUUGCUUAAGUUUGGUGUGAAAUCUCCCGGCUUAACUGGGAGGGUGCGCCGAAUACUGAGUGACUAGAGUGCGGGAGAGGAGUGCGGAAUUCCCGGUGUAGCGGUGAAAUGCGCAGAUAUCAGGAGGAACACCGGUGGUGUAGACGGCUUACUGGACCACGACUGACACUGAGGCACGAAAGCGUGGGUAGCAAAACAGG